UGCCACCUUUGCUUCUCCUGGCCCUCUGCCAUGAUUAUGAGGCCUCCCCAGCCAUGCGGGACGAUUGCCAUGGUUGGAAUGGAGAUUCAGCAGCCAAAGUGUUACGAAAAUCAAGAUAUGCCACAUGCAUACCCUGCAGUUGCCUGAGAUAUCUCAGACUGCCUCUUGUGAAAGAUAUGAGAAGACACACACAGCCAAGAGAAGUCACCUAAGAUGAAUAAGUGGAAGCCACCAGAACCUGGAUUUCAACCUGCAGGAAUUACCUUGUAGGAUAUAGAGCUCCCAGGAUGGAAUGGGCUGUCUCAGCAGAUCAUGGCUGUUUGGGAAAAGGUUGGAAUUGAACUUCUCUUCAUUUUCCUUCACGGAAGAAAACGCUCUUGCCAGACAUAACCUAUGGACUUCUUGUCCUUAAAGCUUCAAGGUUGCUGUCUCCCCACCCUGAAAGAUGUUUGCUGUAGCCUGAGGUCCAGAGUACCAUUGCUUCCUGGCUCUUGGUAGAGAAAAAUGGAUACCAUUGCUCUUCUUAUAUCCACAGUGGUAUUGGAAACCUACCAUAGCCAGAUUCUCAUGCCAUAUGCUGAAUACUUCUACUUAUUCCAAUAACCAUGGCCCCUGAAGUCCUCAAGGUAACAAAAGUUAAGACAGGGAUCACCUGGCCAGAGAGAAGAGUUACCACAGCUAUUUUAUAAGAUGCAAAAUGGAGAUUAUUUCCUAGCAUCUCACCACCCAACAUUAACUGCCAACCUGACCAUGGGGAAUGGAGUGGAGAAACCAUAUCAGGAGAGCUUGAAAUCUGCAUUCAUUGUCCUGGGUGGCCUCUAAUCCCAUGUAGUUCCUAUCCUGAAUUUUUCGAAACUUAUUAUUUGCCUAUGAACAGAGAAGAAUGAAAUUUGCUAGACAUUUCAAUGCCUCUUGCCAAACUAAAAAAAUCCUAAAUGUAUAAACCAGUUGAAAGGAGGCAUAGUUUCUUCCUCUCUCCUAACGUUAACCAUUUUUUCAAAUAGGUAUGUUCUAAAAAAUAGCAAACACCUGCACCCUGUAAAAAAAUCAAAGUCAAAAUAUUACAUUUAAAGUAUUAGGUUGGUGUUGGCCGGGCACGGUGGCUCACGUCUGUAAUCCUAGCACUUUGGGAGGCCGAGGCAGGUGGAUAACUUGAGCUCAGGAGUUUGAGACCAGCCUGGGAAACAUGAUAAAUCCCCAUCUCUACCUCUACCAACACACAAAAAUCAGCCAGGCAUAGUGGCUCGCGCCUAUGGUCCCAGCUACUCGGAGCCCAAGGUGGGAAGAUCGCUUGAGCCUGGGAGGUGG
rnacentral:lncRNA from 10 species